UACGAAGGGGGCGAGCGUUGUUCGGAUUUACUGGGCGUAAAGGGCGCGCAGGCGGCUAGAUUUGUCAGGCGUGAAAGCCCCGGGCUCAACCUGGGAACUGCGCUUGGGACGGUUUGGCUAGAGAUCGGGAGAGGAGAGUGGAAUUCCCAGUGUAGAGGUGAAAUGCGUAGAUAUUGGGAAGAACACCGGUGGCGAAGGCGGCUCUCUGGACCGAUACUGACGCUGAGGCGCGAAAGCGUGGGGAGCAAACAGG
rnacentral:rRNA from 1 species